GACGAACGCUGGCGGCGUGCCUAAUACAUGCAAGUCGAGCGGACGAAUCGAAAGCUUGUUUUUGAGUCGGUAGCGGCGGACGGGUGAGGAACACGUGGGCAACCUGCCCUGUAGACGGGGAUAACACCGAGAAAUCGGUGCUAAUACCGGAUAACACGAAAUGUGGCAUGACGGUUGGUUGAAAGAAGGAGCAAGCUGGCGCUACAGGAAGGGCCCGCGGCGCCUUAGCUAGUUGGUGAGGGAACGGCUCACCAAGGCGACGAUCCGUAGCCGACCUGAGGGGGUGAUAGGCCACACUGGCACUGAGACCCGGCCCCUACUCCUACGCAGGGCCCCAGUAGGGAAUCUUCCGCAAUACACGAAAGUCUCACGCAGCACCGCCGCGUGCGCGCCCACGGCCUUCGGGUCGUAAAGCUCUGUUGUUAGAGAAGAACAUGUAACGCCGUAACUGGCGUUACCGUGACGGUCCCUAACGAGAACGCCACGGCUAACUACGUG
rnacentral:rRNA from 1 species